rnacentral:tRNA from 1 species
GGUGUGUUGCCCGAGUGGUUAAGGGGUUAGUCUUGAAUUUAUUGAAUGUUCAAUGGCGUCUCGUGCGCCGUUAACUAAUUCACUCUGUGAUCGCAGGUUCGAAUCCUGCACACAUCG